GAUGAACGCUGGCGGCGUGCCUAAUACAUGCAAGUCGAGCGAACAGACGAGGAGCUUGCUCCUCUGACGUUAGCGGCGGACGGGUGAGUAACACGUGGAUAACCUACCUAUAAGACUGGGAUAACUUCGGGAAACCGGAGCUAAUACCGGAUAAUAUAUUGAACCGCAUGGUUCAAUAGUGAAAGACGGUUUUGCUGUCACUUAUAGAUGGAUCCGCGCCGCAUUAGCUAGUUGGUAAGGUAACGGCUUACCAAGGCAACGAUGCGUAGCCGACCUGAGAGGGUGAUCGGCCACACUGGAACUGAGACACGGUCCAGACUCUUACGGGAGGCAGCAGUAGGGAAUCUUCCGCAAUGGGCGAAAGCCUGACGGAGCAAAGCCGCGUGAGUGAUGAAGGUCUUCGGAUCGUAAAACUCUGUUAUUAGGGAAGAACAAAUGUGUAAGUAACUAUGCACGUCUUGACGGUACCUAAUCAGAAAGCCACGGCUAACUACGUG
rnacentral:rRNA from 1 species